AAAUAUAAAGUGAAAUCCAACAAAAUGACUUCUCAAAGUUGUCAAUCUUCUUAUCUUUUUGGUGUUUUAUGUAUUAUUUUGAUUUUGCAUUCAGGAUCUGUUACUAGUUUGGACACUCCGGCUACACUAGAUUGCCCUUAUUGAAGAAAUGGACCACCAGCAGCAUGUUACGUAGAUACUUGUAAUUCAAAUUGUGGCACAGAAUGCCUUAGAAAGGGAUUUCAAAAAGGUGGACAAUGUUGGUUUCCGGGUGGUCAAGAUAAUUGUUGUUGUUUUAUUUAAGAAGCUACGGUGUAUCAUUCAUAUCACUGAAAAAUAAAAGCUGCACCUUAAUUUGUGUUUGAAAAUUAGAAGUUGUAAGGAGUUUUUGUAA